ACAUAUACAGAAGUAAACAAAGACAAAGAUAGCAGGGUGAAUGUGAGGUAGCUCCUUUGUGACAGUUCUAAGCUUCUUCUUUAGUUCUAUAUAUCUCCAAAGCCGGCCACCCCCUUUCUCUCAGACCGUCCAAGCCGUCAUUCCUCUUUCUCUCCAAGCCCAACCCUUCUACCGAAGCCAUUGAGGGUUGAAUCGACGGUCAACGCAGCGUUAAAGCAGAGAAGAUAGCGGCACAACUGUUUGGCGUCGAGAUUGAACAAGGAUUCGCCCCUUUCUCCAAGCCCUAACCCUAGCUCCCUCUCUCAUUCGAAGCCCUAAAUUUGAAGGACACGAAUUGAGCUGUCCCGUAUCUGAAAACCCAAGCUUGGAUCCGCUGUUUAGUGUAUAAAUAAGUUUUUCCUGUGGGCUGGUCAAGCUUUGUUUGGGACUCUUACGCCUGACAUAACUGUUCUCACUCUCUUGUACAGCAUAGCCGGGCUGGGUAUCACCAUCGUAAAUGACUUUAAAAGUGUUGAAGGGGAUAGAACACUCAGACUUCAGUCACGUCUAGUAGCAUUUGGCUCUGCGACUGCUAAAUGGAUUUGUGUUGGUGCUAUUGACGUUACUCAACUCUCUGUGGCUGGUUACCUUCUAGGAGCUGGUAAACCAUAUUACGCCUUAGCUCUUCUUGGUUUAAUCAUUCCACAAGUCUUUUUCCAGUUCAAAUACUUCCUCAAAGACCCAGUUAAAUAUGAUGUCAAAUAUCACGUAUCUCUUCUUCCCCAUGAACUAUGAAGAAUUUAGCUCUUCUCCUUCUUCUAUUUUUAUUUUUUGUCACAAUUCUACAUUUCCUUCCAAGUUUAAUUUUUUGAAAUGAUAGAGCAAAUUAUAGAAAAUUUGAUGAAAACCCUUCAAUGGCAAUAAUUUGAUUUAUCUCACAUUGAUCUUUUUGUUAUUGGAGGAGGUUGUCCUAGCAUAAAAGUUUUCAGGCUCAACAGUUCUAGUGUGUUUGAAAGGAACAAAGUAUGCAUACUUUUGGAACUGUUGUAGGCCUAUGAUUUCAGUUCAGUUUGUCCUAAUCUUACACAAUUCCAUUCCAACAUUUUAUGCUUUACAAAUAUUAUUAUUUCACACCUACUUUUAUUUUUCUCAAAUUACUUUUGUUGCACGUUACUACUCAAAUGAUUUCUUUUGGUGACGGGAUGUCAAUCACCCAAUAUAUUGAGUUAAUAGGAAGAGUAGAUCUUUCAAUGUACCUUUAUUAUAAUGCUUGCUUUGCUUGGUUUAAUUUUGCCAACUUUACAACUUGUUU